rnacentral:rRNA from 1 species
UACGGAGAGUGCAAACGUUGUUCGGAUUCACUGGGCGUAAAGGGCACGUAGGCGGCUCGGCAAAUCGGUCGUGGAAUCCAGACGCUUACCGUCUGAACGGCGGCCGAAAAUACCGGGCUCGAGGGCGUGAGGGGUCACUGGAACUCCUGGUGAAGCGGUGAAAUGCGUAGAUAUCGGGAGGAACACCUGUGGCGAAAGCGGCGCACUGGACCAUAACUGACGCUGAGGCGCGAAAGCUAGGGGAGCAAACAGG